rfam:Gorilla gorilla gorilla genomic chromosome, chr16, whole genome shotgun sequence
GCUGGGCAUGGUGGCACGUGCCUGUAGUCCCAGCUACUUGGGAGGCUGAGGCAGGAGGAUCACUCAAACCCAGGAGGCCGAGGUUGCAGUGAGCCGAGAUUGUGUCACUGCACUCCAGCCUGGGCAACAGAGUGAGACUCUGUCUCAA